GUGGGCGGCACGGCGGCGGUGAGCGGUCUGUGCGCCGGGACUCUGAUCACGCCGCCGGGCGCCAGAGCGAAGUUCGGGCCGUACGCACCGGAUUCAUCAUACGGAGCGGCCAGACCGUGAAAAGCUCCCGAGAGAGCAGGCAGAUUCCGGGGACGAGCCAGCGUCGAUCCGAGCAUGGAAAGUUUUUUUGGCUGAAGGACUUGGACCGAUUUCACACACAGUCCCAGGGAUGAAGACCACAAGAGGGUGGAAUCUUCUCACAAAGGUUCCAGAGAUUCAGGAUUUCUCUUCCGUGAGUUUAAGGAAUGUGGAAAAAGGCUGACAUCUGCUGGUCAUCUGUGCAAGGACUUCAGUUUCUCCGAAGCCAUCUGCUGCCCAAGUUACUAAUACACUUCCUUUAAACAGAAACAGGGAGAGAAGAAGAGAGAGAGAAGGAAAGAGAGAUCUUCGUACAACACUUAUUAAACUACUGCAACAUGAUGGUUGAUCCUCAGCUGCCACUUUCUUCGUGACAGUUCUUUAAUAUUGUUCACAUUUCCACUGACCUCACACCCCUCACACUGAGCUCUGGCUUGUGAUUGGUCAUCAGAUGUUGAUUAGUUUCCUAAAACAGCAGCUUUGACAUUAGCACUAGGUUUAUAUUAUUGCGCUCACUCUGAUAGGUUAUCGUUUCCAUAGCAACAGCAGGAUCAAAGGAUAAAAGAAUGUGUGUCAUUGUUGAUAUGGUGAAUUUUUCUGUAAAGAGAUGUUUAUUUCAUAUUUACAGAAGGGGUCUCCAGUAAGGUAAAUUUGGGAAGUUUUCCACAGGAACUGCAGGGUUAUUUUGUUUGUUUGUUUUAUUACCUUUGAGAUAGAAAGUUAUAGCUGCUACAGCGUAAGUGAGAAAAGAAGUGACACGAGUGUCAAACUGAGAUUUUUGUUCUAGUGAUACAUUUAUAUAAUCAGAUCAUAUAUAUUGUGAUUGGGGCAAGUGGGCAAAGCUUAAAGCAUUCUUACAAGGUGCUAAGUUUUAAACAAAUUAGUGAUCAGCAGCCAAUGGAAUUUAUUGAAAAAUUUUAAAUGGAAAAAAAAGGCUGACGUAAGCAAAAAGUCCCCCAUAGUGUCCCAAGCAGCAGUGUAUAAACAGACAAAGCGCUUUGCACUCUGGGAGUUUUAUUGUCCAGGGUUGGAAGAGGUUACGCUCUUAAUCACACGCAUCGUCCCUCACAGGAACACGACAAUAUACAGAGUCGAGGCUGAGCGCUCCAUAAAUAUUCAUCGCCCUGUGUGUGUUUUACAAGAAGGCGAUUUGCUUUAAUGCAAUGUUUCUGUUUGAGUUAAACGGCUCCAUAAAGCGGAAUGUGCGAUGAGCCGUUUCACAGGUCUUUAUAAAUAUGGAUAUACACUCGGAUAUCAUUCAGAGAGAGAGAGAGAGAGAGAGAGAGAGAGGGUAUAGAGCAGGAUAUAGAGAAGAUAAAAAUGAAAGAAAGAGCUACCCAUACUGCUGUCGGAGACUAAAUUAUUCAUCCGCUCAGAAUUGCGGUUAGAGAGAGAUGGACAGAGUACAUGAAGAUAGAGAGAGAGAAGAA